rnacentral:rRNA from 1 species
UCUGGCUCAGGACGAACGCUGGCGGCGUGCCUAAUACAUGCAAGUAGAACGCUGAAGGAGGAGCUUGCUUCUCUGGAUGAGUUGCGAACGGGUGAGUAACGCGUAGGUAACCUGCCUGGUAGCGGGGGAUAACUAUUGGAAACGAUAGCUAAUACCGCAUAAGAGUAGAUGUUGCAUGACAUUUGCUUAAAAGGUGCAACUGCAUCACUACCAGAUGGACCUGCGUUGUAUUAGCUAGUUGGUGAGGUAAGGGCUCACCAAGGCAACGAUACAUAGCCGACCUGAGAGGGGGAUGGGCAACACUGGGACUGAAACACGGCCCAGAGUCCUACGG